GUCACUAUUCUUUUCUUGUUUCAUCAUUUUCAAUAAUUUCUGAAUCUCAAAAUAUUAUCUUCCUUUCAUUUUUAUAUCAACAACAUGUCGAUUUGGCAAAACUAAAUCACAUAAAUAGUAGCAUAUUAUAUGAAGUCUGAUCUAAUACUAGAUGUUUCCACUACACAUAUGCGUUUAUAAGAUACAACCAAAAAAAAAAAAAUUGAUAAUCAGUAAAAGUUAUCAUAAAUACCAAACCGAUCAUUAGAUAAAAUAUGGAGCACAAAAUGAAAAAUAAAAUAAAGACAGGAGAACCCACGGACAAAGCAACAACAUACAUAUCUAUAUAUAAAUGUACUUCUUUAACUCUUUCUAUACGAAUUUGGAGUAAUUUAGUAAUCUGUAAAGCUACACAAAUAAAUUAAAAUAUAUAGAAAAACUUGUCGAAUAAUAAAGUUUAGAGAUGUAUUUUCCAAUGAACGUAAACACAAACUCAUAAGUAUGUUAUAAGCCUUAUAUCCCUACUUGAGGAAUAAAGUUGUGUGUUUACAAAUAGAAUAUUCAUUUUUCAAAAGCAAAAGUCUCAAGCAAAUAUCAUUAUUAGUUAGUCUAUUGAUUCAAAAAAAGAAAACAAAAAAUGGGUAUCUUUGUAUACUUUAGCUAUAAUAAAUCUGAAAAAAAUAUAUAUUCAAAGAAUCAAUCAAGUUUUGUAGAAAACAUAAUUCAUGAACUAAUAAACUGGUGGGAUCCAAUGUCC
rnacentral:lncRNA from 1 species